rnacentral:rRNA from 10 species
CAUCCUCCAAGGCUAAAUACUCCUGACUGACCGAUAGUGAACCAGUACCGUGAGGGAAAGGCGAAAAGAACCCCGGCGAGGGGAGUGAAAAAGAACCUGAAACCGUGUACGUACAAGCAGUGGGAGCACAGGUUUACCUGUGUGACUGCGUACCUUUUGUAUAAUGGGUCAGCGACUUAUAUUCUGUAGCAAGGUUAACCGAAUAGGGGAGCCGGAGGGAAACCGAGUCUUAAUUGGGCGUUAAGUUGCAGGGUAUAGACCCGAAACCCGGUGAUCUAGCCAUGGGCAGGUUGAAGGUUGGGUAACACUAACUGGAGGACCGAACCGACUAAUGUUGAAAAAUUAGCGGAUGACCUGUGGCU